rnacentral:rRNA from 1 species
CCUACGGGAGGCAGCAGUGGGGAAUAUUGGGCAAUGGGCGCAAGCCUGACCCAGCAACGCCGCGUGAAGGAAGAAGGCUUUCGGGUUGUAAACUUCCUUUUUCAGGGACGAAACAAGUUACGGUUCCUGAGGAAUGAGUCACCGCUAACGACGUGCCAGCAGCCGCGGUAAUACGUCGGCGGCUAUCGUUAUCCGGAUUUACUGGGUGUAAAGGGCGUGUAGGCUGAGAGGCAAGUCAGAUGUGAAAACCACGGGCUCAACCUGUGGCCUGCAGUUGAAACUGUGUGUCUUGAGUACUGGAGAGGCAGACGGAAUUCGUAGUGUAGCGGUGAAAUGCGUAGAUAUUACGAGGAACUCCGAUGGCGAAGGCGGUCUGCUGGACAGCAACUGACGCUGAGGUGCGAAAGCGUGGGGAGCAAACAGGAUUAGAUACCCCAGUAGUC